rnacentral:rRNA from 1 species
AUACGUAGGGGGCGAGCGUUGUCCGGAAUUAUUGGGCGUAAAGGGCGUGUAGACGGUCAUAUAAGUUACAGGUGAAAGCCCAUUUUUCAAGGAUGGAACUGCCUGUAAGACUGUAAGACUUGAGUGCAGGAGAGGGAAGCGGAAUUCCAAGUGUAGCGGUGAAAUGCGUAGAUAUUUGGAGGAACACCAGUGGCGAAGGCGGCUUUCUGGACUGCAACUGGCGUUGAGGCGCGAAAGCGUGGGGAGCGAACAGGAUUAGAUACCCUGGUAGUCCACACUGUAAACGAGGAAUGCUAGGUGUAAGAGGUAUCGACCCCUUUUGUGCCGGAGUCAACACAAUAAGCAUUCCGCCUGGGGAGUACGGCCGCAAGGUUGAAACUCAAAGGAAUUGACGGGG